UUUCUCUCCGCCACCAAGUUCCUCUCUCCUUCCACACCCUCCAGGAAAAGUGACUUGACAAUAAGGUGGUCCCGUCCCUAGCUCUCUCCUUCCUGUCAGUCUGAGCGGGCGCUGCCGCGGAGAGGGGGUGCGUCUCCCCAACCUCGAGAACACGCAAGAGCGGAGACCUGCCUUUGUGCCUUCCCUUGGCCGUGAACUUUCCCGCUCGUUUUCAGCAGAAGCAGGCUCGGGAGCUCGGAGCCCUAAUGUGCGUCCCCGUCUUGGAUGGUUUGCUCAAGUGUGGUUUCAAAUGCUGCCCCGACUGAGACUGGUUUCCUGUCUGUAAAGAGUGGAAGCUCUGCGCGGGGAAGCCUGUGGAGCGCUUCUGGGUCUGCAUUGCCAGGCCAGAUUGCAGUCCACGACCUUCCCGGGGCUAACCAAGGGCGAGGAAUGUUGCCCAACAAGACCACCGCCUCACCAGGGCGCCCGGGGAACAGCCACUGACAAAGGCCCUGUGGACCCAGGCACAGCCACCCACCCAUGCCCAAGGCGGCCUGCAGGAGCGCAGGGGCCGAGGCUGCGAAGCUACGCAGUCAGCCCCGCACCAUUGACAGCCCAGUCACGUCUGCGCAGCCCCGGGGAACAAUCAGCGGACUCUGUGUCCCAGGAGCUGGGGACACGCCUGUAAGUCUUUUCUUCCUGCACAUAGUCAUUUGGAGAAAAAUCAAGUGUGAGCACCUCUCCCUGCAGAAGGUUCUGUAUGUUAUGUAACACAUUCACACAGGGAUGCCUCAAGUUACCAUUUUGCUCCAAAUCAGCCAGCACAAGGUUUUCUGGCCCAGUGUGUGAUGUUCCAGCCGGCUAAAUGGGUUUGCCUUCUGCUGAGAGGCAGUCCUGGAGGACGGAACUAACGUGCGAUCUCCCAGGAAGCUCUUCCUCAGAAUAUCCCUUAUCCUUUUGUUUUUGUAUUAAACAAUAUAUUUUUACUUUCUCUGAGUGUCUGUCCUGUAAUUUUGUAGCUACAA